rnacentral:tRNA from 1 species
AAGACUCUAGUAAAAUUAUUACAUUGCCUUGUCGAGACAAUGUUGCAAGUGAGACUCUUGCGUGUCUU